CACAGGAGUGGAUCUGUUUCUCUUGGUGGGGGGGAUCAUAUUUACAAUACAAACGCGAUUUUUGUGCACAUAAACUUCAGGAUGCAAUAUCGAUGGUGUCGUGAUUGAUACACGCCAAGCACAAUGCUUAACCGCUUCUUUGUAUACCCAAGCGUCACCGCAUACUGUGAUUUAUCUCGUAUAGGUGAUUAGCACAUACAAACUGGCAAGCGGUGCAAUUAUGAAUGUAGCCCAUUAAUCUUAAAAGUUUUGACAACCCGAGCAGAUAUUAGAAGCAAAAGCAACUUUCUGGAGUUGGUCAAGACGCAGUCUCAACAAACACGAAUUUGGGAGGAACUGUUAAAUAAACAGCAGACUGUACAAUAAGGUUUUAAUGAUAGUGAGUUAGCUGCUGCUGUAACUGGACCCGAAACUGUUGUUAGGGGGAAAAGGGGAUUGGACACUUCCGGUCAGUAUCCGGCGCUUUCUUUGGUUUAGCAGCACGUGACUCCCAUGCAGCCCCCCAAGAUUCCAAUUCUUCCAUGCUUGUGCGAAUCUGUGUGGACUUAAAUUGAACUAGGAGACACAGGGAUCAUGCUUAGAGGAAAGCGGUUUUGUGUGUGUGUUGUGUGUGUGAGAGAGAGAGAGAGAGAGAGAGAGAGAGAGAGAGAGAGAGAGAGAGAGAGAGAGAGAGAGAGAGAGAGAGAGAGAGAGAGAGAGAGAGAGAGAGAAAGAGAGAGAGAGAGAGUGAUGCAUUUUUACUAUAGCCAACAAGACAA